rnacentral:rRNA from 1 species
AUGUCUUACAGAUUCCAAGAUAAUUUAUCUCCACCAUUCUUUCAUUGUUCCCAAGUUACCUUUCUUAUGCAUUAUUCUCCAUUAGUUCUGAUUUCCCUGUUAUCUCACCUCAUUUUAUCAACUACCCAUUUGCCGUAUGUGUGGAGCCCUCAUGGUUGGUCUGUUGGUUUGAGUUAUUUUGUCCCCAAUCUUCGGUCCCAUCAUCCAUUUGCCCGUCCUACUAAUUUCUUGAUUCAAUUACUGUGUUUAUCUUGGCUACCAUUUCAGCACAAACAUUUACCUAGUGGUGGUGAAAUUCAACAAUGUUAG